AAGCAUUUUGAUAAACUUUUCUCCUGCUCUAAAGUUUGCCUUGGUCUUUUCUUCUACCUUAUGCCCCUCAGUUGAAUUCUUUCUUCUGAGGCGGCAGGAAUUGACUUUGCUGAUAUAUUUCGGUGCGCUGUGACUCGGAUAACUUUCACCGCUAACAUACAUUGGCACUGCUUGACUGGGAUCCAUGCCCUAAUGUUAUGAUUCAGCAAACAGGAUCAUGAGGGCCACUCAGAGAAAGGGAACCCAGAAACCUGGAAUGCCGGCAAAAGGGUAAAAAAUUUUCACCAUUCAGAUUUCUGGCCACCCUCUCUCUGUGCAAAUGAGUUGUAGGAGUGGUAAAAAGCACUGUCUCCUCUGCAAAGUUUUCGUUAGUGAGAAAAAGGAUUCAUGAGGCCACUCUUAAGCUGCAACAAACCUGGUUUGCUUUCUGCUAUGAAUUUUUCUUUCUGUUUCAUUCUUUCAAAAAGAGGGGUACCUUAGGGUAGAAUGUGAAUCUAGGAUGCCUGUAAGCCCACUGUUCAAGCCAGCCUGGCAAACUGGUCAGUUACAAAAUUUGCUGCAGUUCUGUGAUACCAAAACAAAACAACAAAAUAAAAAAGUGGAUGAAGAUUUUCUCUCGUCUUGUUUUACGUCCUUGAGAGCUUGAUUUUGUAACCAGGUGGCAGUACUUUUUCUUCAUCUUCAGUAUCCA
rnacentral:lncRNA from 1 species